rnacentral:rRNA from 1 species
GAUGAACGCUGGCGGCGUGCCUAAUACAUGCAAGUCGAGCGAACAGACGAGGAGCUUGCUCCUCUGAUGUUAGCGGCGGACGGGUGAGUAACACGUGGAUAACCUACCUAUAAGACUGGGAUAACUUCGGGAAACCGGAGCUAAUACCGGAUAACAUGUUGAACCGCAUGGUUCAACAGUGAAAGACGGUCUUGCUGUCACUUAUAGAUGGAUCCGCGCCGCAUUAGCUAGUUGGUAAGGUAACGGCUUACCAAGGCAACGAUGCGUAGCCGACCUGAGAGGGUGAUCGGCCACACUGGAACUGAGACACGGUCCAGACUCCUACGGGAGGCAGUAGUAGGGAAUCUUCCGCAAUGGGCGAAAGCCUGACGGAGCAACGCCGCGUGAGUGAAGAAGGUCUUCGGAUCGUAAAACUCUGUUAUUAGGGAAGAACAAAUGUGUAAGUAACUAUGCACGUCUUGACGGUACCUAAUCAGAAAGCCACGGCUAACUACGUG